rnacentral:rRNA from 1 species
GAUGAGUAUGCGUCCCAUUAGCUAGAUGGUAAGGUAACGGCUUACCAUGGCAAUGAUGGGUAGGGGUCCUGAGAGGGAGAUCCCCCCACACUGGUACUGAGACACGGACCAGACUCCUACGGGAGGCAGCAGUGAGGAAUAUUGGACAAUGGGCGCAAGCCUGAUCCAGCCAUGCCGCGUGUGUGAAGAAGGCCUUCGGGUUGUAAAGCACUUUCAGCGAGGAGGAAGGGUUAGUAGUUAAUAGCUGCUAAUUUUGACGUUACUCGCAGAAGAAGCACCGGCUAACUCUGUG